rnacentral:rRNA from 1 species
UACAGGGGGGGCAAGCGUUGUUCGGAAUUACUGGGCGUAAAGGGUUCGUAGGUGGCCAACUAAGUCAGACGUGAAAUCCCUCAGCUUAACUGGGGAACUGCGUCUGAUACUGGUUGGCUUGAGUGCAGGAGAGGAAUGCGGAAUUCCAGGUGUAGCGGUGAAAUGCGUAGAUAUCUGGAGGAACACCGGUGGCGAAGGCGGCAUUCUGGGACGGUACUGACGCUGAGACGCGAAAGCGUGGGGAGCGAACAGG